rnacentral:misc_RNA from 1 species
GAAAUGCGAUAAGUAAUGUGAAUUGCAGAAUUCAGUGAAUCAUCGAAUCUUUGAACGCACCUUGCGCUCCUUGGUAUUCCUUGGAGCAUGCCUGUUUGAGUAUCAUGAAAUCUUCGAAGUAAAUCUUUUGUUAACUCAAUUGGUUUCUACUUUGGUAUUGGAGGUCUUUGCAGCUUCACACCUGCUCCUCUUUGUUCAUUAGCUGGAUCUCAGUGUUAUGCUUGGUUCCACUCGGCGUGAUAAGUUAUCUAUCGCUGAGGACACUGUAAAAGGUGGCCAAGGUAAAUGCAGAUGAGCCGCUUCUAAUAGUCCAUUGACUUGGACAAUACUUUUAUGAUCUGAUCUCAAAUCAGGUAGGACUACCCGCUGAACUUAAGC